rnacentral:rRNA from 1 species
AACUCGGGGAAACUCGAGCUAAUACCGCAUACGCCCUACGGGGAAAGCAGGGGAUCUUCGGACCUUGUGCUAUUGGAUGAGCCCGCGUCAGAUUAGUUAGUUGGUGGGGUAAUGGCCUACCAAGACGACGAUCUGUAGCUGGUCUGAGAGGAUGACCAGCCACACUGGAACUGAGACACGGUCCAGACUCCUACGGGAGGCAGCAGUGGGGAAUAUUGCACAAUGGGCGCAAGUGAUGCAGCCAUGCCGCGUGUGUGAAGAAGGCUCUAGGGUUGUAAAGCACUUUCAGUAGGGAGGAAAGGAGUGUAGUUAAUACCUGCGUUCUGUGACGUUACCUACAGAAGAAGCACCGGCUAACUCCGUGCCAGCAGCCGCGGUAAUACGGAGGGUGCAAGCGUUAAUCGGAAUUACUGGGCGUAAAGCGCGCGUAGGGGCUUGUUAAGCUAGCUGUGAAAGCCCCGGGCUCAACCUGGGAACUGCAGUUAGAACUGGCAAGCUAGAGUACAGCAGAGGAUAGUGGAAUUUCAGGUGUAGCGGUGAAAUGCGUAGAUAUCUGAAGGAACACCAGUGGCGAAGGGACUGUCUGGGCUGAUACUGACGCUGAGGUGCGAAAGGUGGGGAGCAAACAGGAUUAGAUACCCUGGUAGUCCACGCCGUAAACGAUGUCUACUAGCCGUUGGGAUCCUUGAGAUCUUAGUGGCGCAGUAACGCACUAAGUAGACCGCCUGGGGAGUACGGUCGCAAGAUUAAAACUCAAAUGAAUCGACGGG